CNNGCGGNNNUUACCAUGCAGUCGAACGAUGAAGCCCAGCUUGCUGGGUGGAUUAGUGGCGAACGGGUGAGUAACACGUGAGUAACCUGCCCUUAACUCUGGGAUAAGCCUGGGAAACUGGGUCUAAUACCGGAUAGGAGCGCCUACCGCAUGGUGGGUGUUGGAAAGAUUUAUCGGUUUUGGAUGGACUCGCGGCCUAUCAGCUUGUUGGUGAGGUAAUGGCUCACCAAGGCGACGACGGGUAGCCGGCCUGAGAGGGUGACCGGCCACACUGGGACUGAGACACGNNNUGNNANCNCNNNCAGACUCCUACGGGAGGCAGCAGUGGGGAAUAUUGCACAAUGGGCGCAAGCCUGAUGCAGCGACGCCGCGUGAGGGGAUGACGGCCUUCGGGUUGUAAACCUCUUUCAGUAGGGAAGAAGCGAAAGUGACGGUACCUGCAGAAGAAGCACCGGCUAACUACGUGCCAGCAGCCGCGGUAAUACGUAGGGUGCGAGCGUUAUCCGGAAUUAUUGGGCGUAAAGAGCUCGUAGGCGGUUUGUCGCGUCUGUCGUGAAAGUCCGGGGCUUAACCCCGGAUCUGCGGUGGGUACGGGCAGACUAGAGUGCAGUAGGGGAGACUGGAAUUCCUGGUGUAGCGGUGGAAUGCGCAGAUAUCAGGAGGAACACCGAUGGCGAAGGCAGGUCUCUGGGCUGUAACUGACGCUGAGGAGCGAAAGCAUGGGGAGCGAACAGGAUUAGAUACCCUGGUAGUCCAUGCCGUAAACGUUGGGCACUAGGUGUGGGGACCAUUCCACGGUUUCCGCGCCGCAGCUAACGCAUUAAGUGCCCCGCCUGGGGAGUACGGCCGCAAGGCUAAAACUCAAAGGAAUUGACGGGGGCCCGCACAAGCGGCGGAGCAUGCGGAUUAAUUCGAUGCAACGCGAAGAACCUUACCAAGGCUUGACAUGUUCUCGAUCGCCGUAGAGAUACGGUUUCCCCUUUGGGGCGGGUUCACAGGUGGUGCAUGGUUGUCGUCAGCUCGUGUCGUGAGAUGUUGGGUUAAGUCCCGCAACGAGCGCAACCCUCGUUCCAUGUUGCCAGCACGUCGUGGUGGGGACUCAUGGGAGACUGCCGGGGUCAACUCGGAGGAAGGUGAGGACGACGUCAAAUCAUCAUGCCCCUUAUGUUCUUGGGCUUCACGCAUGCCUACAAUGNGCCGGUACAAUGGGUUGCGNAUACUGUGAGGUNGGAGCUAAUCCCAAAAANNNNGNNNCCGGUCUCAGUUCGGAUUGGGGUCUGCAACUCGACCCCAUGAAGUCGGAGUCGCUAGUAAUCGCAGAUCAGCAACGCUGCGGUGAAUACGUUCCCGGGCCUUGUACACACCGCCCGUCAAGUCACGAAAGUCGGUAACACCCGAAGCCGGUGGCCUAACCCUUGUGGGGGAGCCGUCGAAGNGANCAGCCAGU
rnacentral:rRNA from 1 species